CGUGCGUUGCGCGCGCAGUUUCGCCACUACGAGCGCUGUGGAACUGAGAUUUCGAAUUUGGAAAAUUGUGUGUGUUCUUUUUUUGAAAAAGAAAAUUUUUGCUGACAGUGACAGAAGUGUUGUGUAUGGAAUUUUUUUUUUGUUUGACAAUAUUUUUUAUUUUAAUUGUGGUGAAUACGGAUCAGUGAACUUUUGGAUUGCGUUUUGGACUUGAUACGAUUCUGCGGCACAGGAUCGCUCCUACACCAAAUGUGUUCAGUAACAUCCAAGACUUAAGAUAGAGUUAUACCAAACGUCAAUAUUUGCUGGUAUGGCGCGAUACAGGUGAUCGUGGCUAUUGGAUGACAGUGUUGGAGCUAGUUAGCU
rnacentral:lncRNA from 1 species